CUUCCGGGUCCUCCCUUGGGGGUUAAGCAGAGCAAGUCAGCACCUCAGGAAUCAGAAGACUCUGUGGCCAAAUAAAGGUCCUUCCAAUGUGAGGUUCCACGAUCCCCCAUGGAGAGACAGGCAGAGGAGCUCCUGUCUAUCAGACAGCGCUCCAUGAGGGUCAAGCCUAUACACAGGGAUGUCACCCCACAGCCGACGCAUCAUCCAGGCUACUGGUGGACAUUUACCAAGAACCUGCAGUGUGCCAGGUACUGCCCCUGCAACGGCUGGAGAAAUUAGGGGCUCAUUCCUGGGCCCCCCCUGGAGGAAGCCUGGAGAGAGGCCUCUCUCCCCACCACUACCCUGGACAGAUGCAGAAGACCCCUUGGGGGCAGGCUUUCUGACUCCAGGAUAUGGGCAUCGCUGCAAACGUAGAGUCAAUCCUCCCAGCCACUGCUAGAACCAAGUGAGAUGAUGAGAUAAUCAGUGCUUUGCACACUAUGCAGGGCUGCACAGAAUCCUUGGUUCUCUGGCCCAACGGGCAGGACUCUGGCCCGGAAAUUGCACUCCUGGCUGUGGGCCUAGCAAGUCGUCUGCCGUCUAGGACUCAGUUUCCAUAGAUUGCAUGAGGAUUACUUAAGCACACUGCUCAGGGCUCCCGUGAUACUGAAAUGAAGUCAUGCAAGAAAGCACCAGCAUCUCAGGACACCUGCGUGGCUCAGCGGUUGAGCAUCUGCCUUUGGCUCAGAUCGUGAUCCCGGGAUCCUGGGAUCGAGUCCCACGUCAGGCUCCCAGCACGGAGCCAGCUUCUCCCUCUGCCUGUGUCUCU